UUAUACGCGUUGAAAAGAAGAGUACAGAUUGGUGAAUUUUUAAGAGAGCUUCGGUAGGUGAAAAGAAGCAAAGGAAGCAAUUUGGAAGAUGGUCUUGGAGCAGAUGGUCGUGAAUCGUCGAGAUAAACGAUCAGCGGGAAUGCCCGUUAUAGCAUAACAGUAUUGAUGAACUUGAGAGAGACAUCUGUACUGGUUAAGGCUGCAGCUGCAAAGUGGCAGUGAAAAAAGGUGGUAACACGGAGUUAAGGCUCCCGUCCUUUUC
rnacentral:ncRNA from 1 species